rnacentral:rRNA from 1 species
UACGGAGGGUGCGAGCGUUGUCCGGAAUCAUUGGGCGUAAAGGGCGCGUAGGCGGCAUUGCAAGUGGAAGGUGAAAUCCCUCGGCUUAACCGAGGAACUGCCCUCCAAACUGCGUUGCUUGAGGCCGGGAGAGGUGAGUGGAAUUCCCAGUGUAGCGGUGAAAUGCGUAGAUAUUGGGAGGAACACCAGUGGCGAAGGCGGCUCACUGGACCGGUACUGACGCUGAUGCGCGAAAGCGUGGGGAGCAAACGGG